rnacentral:rRNA from 1 species
AUUGAACGCUGGCGGCAGGCCUAACACAUGCAAGUCGAACGAGCGGCGGACGGGUGAGUGAUGUCUGGGAGACUGCCUGAUGGAGGGGGAUAACACCUGGAAACGGUAGCUAAUACAGCAUACCAUCAGAUGUGCCCAGAUGGGAUUAGCUCGUAGGUGGGGGAACGGCUCACCUAGGCGACGAUCCCUAGCUGGUCUGAGAGGAUGACCAGCCACACUGGAACUGAGACACGGUCCAGACUCCUACGGGAGGCAGCAGUGGGGAAUAUUGCACAAUGGGCGCAAGCCUGAUGCAGCCAUGCCGCGUGUAUGAAGAAGGCCUUCGGGUUGUAAAGUACUUUCAGCGGGGAGGCGUUACCCGCAGAAGAAGCACCGGCUAACUCCGUGCCAGCAGCCGCGGUAAUUC